UACGGAGGGUGCAAGCGUUAAUCGGAAUUACUGGGCGUAAAGCGUGCGCAGGCGGUUACAUAAGACAGAUGUGAAAUCCCCGGGCUCAACCUGGGAACUGCAUUUGUGACUGUGGGGCUAGAGUACGGUAGAGGGGGAUGGAAUUCCGCGUGUAGCAGUGAAAUGCGUAGAUAUGCGGAGGAACACCAAUGGCGAAGGCUAUCCCCUGUACCUGUACUGACGCUCAUGCACGAAAUCGUGGGGAGCAACCAGG
rnacentral:rRNA from 1 species